rnacentral:rRNA from 1 species
GGACUACCGGGGUAUCUAAUCCUGUUCGCUCCCCACGCUUUCGCGUCUCAGUGUCAGUACCGUCCCAGAGAGCCGCCUUCGCCACGGGUGUUCCUCCUGAUAUCUGCGCAUUCCACCGCUACACCAGGAAUUCCGCUCUCCUCUUCCGGACUCUAGCGAGGAAGUUUCCCACGCACUUCUGCGGUUGAGCCGCAGGCUUUCACGUAAGACUUUCCAAGCCACCUACACGCUCUUUACGCCCAAUGAUUCCGGACAACGCUCGCCCCCUACGUAUUACCGCGGCUGCUGGCAC